AUUGAACGCUGGCGGCAGGCUUAACACAUGCAAGUCGAGCGGGGGGAGGUAGCUUGCUACCUAACCUAGCGGCGGACGGGUGAGUAAUGCUUAGGAAUCUGCCUAUUAGUGGGGGACAACAUUUCGAAAGGGAUGCUAAUACCGCAUACGCCCUAAGGGGGAAAGCAGGGGAUCUUCGGACCUUGCGCUAAUAGAUGAGCCUAAGUCGGAUUAGCUAGUUGGUGGGGUAAAGGCCUACCACGGCGACGAUCUGUAGCGGGUCUGAGAGGAUGAUCCGCCACACUGGGACUGAGACACGGCCCAGACUCCUACGGGAGGCAGCAGUGGGGAAUAUUGGACAAUGGGGGGAACCCUGAUCCAGCCAUGCCGCGUGUGUGAAGAAGGCCUUUUGGUUGUAAAGCACUUUAAGCGAGGAGGAGGCUACUGGUAUUAAUACUACUGGAUAGUGGACGUUACUCGCAGAAUAAGCACCGGCUAACUCUGUGCCAGCCGCCGCCGUAAAAC
rnacentral:rRNA from 1 species